CCUACGGGAGGCAGCAGUGGGGAAUCUUGCACAAUGGGGGAAACCCUGAUGCAGCGACGCCGCGUGAGCGAUGAAGUAUUUCGGUAUGUAAAGCUCUAUCAGCAGGGAAGAAAAUGACGGUACCUGGCUAAGAAGCCCCGGCUAAAUAUGUUCCAGCAGCCGCGGUAAUACGUAGGGGGCAAGCGUUACCCGGAUUGACUGGUUGAAAAGGGUGCGUAGACGGCUUGGCAAGCCAGAUGUGAAAGGCUGGGGCUCAAACCCAGGACUGCAUUUGGAACUGUCAUGCUAGAGUGCCGGAGGGGCAGGCGGAAUUCCGAGUGUAGCGGUGAAAUGCGUAGAUAUUAGGAGGAACACCAGUGGCGAAGGCGGCCUGCUGGACUAUGACUGACGUUGAGGCUCGAAAGCGUGGGGAGCAAACAGGAUUAGAUACCCGAGUAGUC
rnacentral:rRNA from 1 species